rnacentral:lncRNA from 1 species
CCGCCCGGCGCUGGUGGGGCUGUACCAGGAGACCUCCAUGCUCACCUUCGAGGGCCAUAAGUUCCAGGGCCCCGCCGCCAUUGCCGGCAAGCUCGGAUCUCUCCCCUUCCAGGCCUGCCAGCACAAGAUCGACACCGUCGACUGCCAGCCGUCGGGACCCCAGGGAGGCGUGCUCGUCUUCGUCUCCGGCUCCAUCCGCACCGGCCCCGAGGAUCACCCCCUCAAGUUCUCCCAGGUAUGCACCUCCGCUUGGCCUCGAUCCUCCUUCCCACUCGUAGCAAGGCUUAUUUUAUUGUGUCUGGUAGUGGUACGCGAUGACUUGUCAC